UACGUAGGGGGCAAGCGUUGUCCGGAAUCAUUGGGCGUAAAGAGCGUGUAGGCGGCUCGAUAAGUCCGCUGUGAAAGUCCAGGGCUCAACCCUGGAAGGCCGGUGGAAACUGUCGGGCUAGAGUCCGGAAGAGGCGAGUGGAAUUCCCGGUGUAGCGGUGAAAUGCGCAGAUAUCGGGAGGAACACCGGUGGCGAAGGCGGGUCUCUGGGCCGUAACUGACGCUGAGGAGCGAAAGCAUGGGGGAGCGAACAGG
rnacentral:rRNA from 1 species